UUCCGGUUGAUCCUGCCGGACCCGACUGCUAUUUGGGUGAGGAUAAGCCAUGCGAGUUGAAUGGGAUACCCAAAAAUCCCAUGGCAAACUGCUCAGUAACACAUGAUCAACUUACCCUAUAGAGGAAAAUAACCUCGGGAAACUGAGGAUAAUGUUCCAUAGUUGAAUCGGCUUGGAAAAGUUUUUCAAUAAAAGGGAUAAGGAAAAUGGUCCUUAUCUGCUAUAGGAUAGGAUCGUGCUCGAUUAUGGUUGUUGGUGAGGUAAAGGCUCACCUAGCCGAUAAUCGAUAGGGGCCGUGAGAGCGGGAGCCCCGAGAUGGGUACUGAGACAACGACCCAGGCCUUACGAGGCGCAGCGGCGCGAAACCUCCGCAAUACACGAAAGUGUGACGGGGUUACCCAAAGUGUUCUAUUUAGAACUGUGGUAGAUGAGUAAUGUCCCCUACUAGAAAGGAGAGGGCAAGGCUGGUGCCAGCCGCCGCGGUAAAACCAGCUCUUCAAGUGGUCGGGAUAAUUAUUGGGCUUAAAGUGUCCGUAGCCGGUUUAGUAAGUUCCUGGUAAAAUCGGGUAGCUUAACUAUCUAUAUGCUAGGAAUACUGCUAUACUAGAGGGCGGGAGAGGUCUGAGGUACUACAGGGGUAGGGGUGAAAUCUUAUAAUCCUUGUAGGACCACCAGUGGCGAAAGCGUCAGACUGGAACGCGCCUGACGGUGAGGGACGAAAGCCAGGGGAGCGAACCGGAUUAGAUACCCAGGUAGUCCUGGCCGUAAACGAUGCAUACUAGUGAUGGCACGGCCAUGAGCCGUGUCAGUGCCGUACGGAAACCGUUAAGUGUGCCGUCUGGCAAGUACGGUCGCAAGGCUAAACUUAAAGGAAUUGUCGGGGGAGCACCACAAGGGGUGAAGCCUGCGUUCAAUUGGAUUCAACGCGGAAUCGUCG
rnacentral:rRNA from 1 species